rnacentral:rRNA from 1 species
AUUGAACGCUGGCGGCAUGCCUUACACAUGCAAGUCGAACGGCAGCAUGGAGAGCUUGCUCUCUGAUGGCGAGUGGCGAACGGGUGAGUAAAGCAUCGGAACGUACCGUGUAGUGGGGGAUAACGUAGCGAAAGUUACGCUAAUACCGCAUACGCACUGAGGUGGAAAGCAGGGGAUCGUAAGACCUUGCGCUAUACGAGCGGCCGAUGUCAGAUUAGCUGGUUGGUAGGGUAAAGGCCUACCAAGGCGACGAUCUGUAGCGGGUCUGAGAGGAUGAUCCGCCACACUGGGACUGAGACACGGCCCAGACUCCUACGGGAGGCAGCAGUGGGGAAUUUUGGACAAUGGGGGCAACCCUGAUCCAGCCAUGCCGCGUGAGUGAAGAAGGCCUUCGGGUUGUAAAGCUCUUUCGGCCGGGAAGAAAUCGCACAGGCUAAUACCCUGUGUGGAUGACGGUACCGGCAUAAGAAGCACCGGCUAACUACGUGCCAGCCGCCGCUGUAA